rnacentral:misc_RNA from 1 species
GUUUUCCUUCCAGCUCUCCUGUGUACAGCCCUAAUUUGCAAAUUGAUGUAAAACUCGAAGAAUUGAGAGAGAGAGCCGCAAUUCCUUAAAGUCCAAAAGCCACAGACUAGCUAGGGAGACUAGCUAGGGUUAAAAUGGCUUCUUUUGGGUCUCUAAAAUCGGCAAUCUACGACAGAGAAGAGAGAAAACAGUACCGUCUGGACGCCUUUUUCCUCUUUGUUAAUUCUAAUUAACAUUUUGAUCCCUGUAUUGCUCUAGAUAUUUGUUCUUCAAUGGAUUUGAGUGCUGAAAACCGUUUUUGACAGGCAAUACCAAGCUUACAUUCGAGGUCUCAACGCCUACGAUCGGCACAAGAAAUUCUUGAACGAUUAUGUUAGCUUCUAUGGGAAAGAAAAGUCUUCAAAUGUGAAAUUGCCAGUUAAAACGGACCGGGACACCCUAAGAGAAGGAUAUCGGUUCAUACGUACCGAGGAAGAUGAUAUGGAUACAUCCUGGGAGCAAAGGUUGGUCAAGCGCUACUAUGAUAAGCUUUUUAAAGAAUACUGCAUAGCUGACAUGUCACAAUACAAGAGUGGAAAGAUUGGUUUGAGAUGGAGAACAGAGAAGGAAGUCAUAUCUGGGAAAG